rnacentral:misc_RNA from 1 species
AAGUCGUAACAAGGUCUCCGUUGGUGAACCAGCGGAGGGAUCAUUACAGAGUUUCAUACUCCAAACCCUUUGUGAACAUACCUGUUUCCGUUGCUUCGGCAGGUCGGGGGUCACACCCCGCCCGCCGCCGGGCCCCCUCGCGGGGUCGCCCGGCGGGCCUGCCGGAGGGCACAGACUCUGUAUUUCAAAACUACCUCUCUGAGUUAUCUUUACAAAUAAGUAAAAACUUUCAACAACGGAUCUCUUGGUUCUG